UUAUAUUAGAUUGGUGCAAAAGUAAUUGUGGUUUUUGCUAUUACUUUCAAUGGCAAAACUGUAAUUACUUUUGCACCAACCUAAUAUAU
rnacentral:miRNA from 1 species